rnacentral:rRNA from 1 species
UACGUAGGGUGCAAGCGUUGUCCGGAAUUAUUGGGCGUAAAGCGCACGUAGGCGGCUUAGCAAGUCGCGUGUGAAAGCCCCCGGCUCAACUGGGGAGGGUCACGCGAUACUGAUCGACUCGAAGGCAGGAGAGGGAAGUGGAAUUCCCGGUGUAGUGGUGAAAUGCGUAGAUAUCGGGAGGAACACCAGUGGCGAAGGCGACUUCCUGGUCUGUUCUUGACGCUGAGGCGCGAAAGCUAGGGGAGCAAACGGG